rnacentral:rRNA from 1 species
GACAGAGGUCCCGAGCGUUAGGCGGAAUCACUGGGCUUAAAGCGUGUGUAGGCGGAUCGUUAAGUGCCUUGUGAAAUCCCACGGCUCAACCGUGGAACUGCUUGGCAUACUGGCGGUCUUGAGCAACCUAGGGGCAAGCGGAACAAAUGGUGGAGCGGUGAAAUGCGUAGAUAUCAUUUGGAACGCCAAUGGUGAAAACAGCUUGCUGGGGGUUUGCUGACGCUGGGACACGAAAGCCAGGGGAGCAAACGGG